AUGAACGCUGGCGGCGUGCCUAAUACAUGCAAGUCGAGCGAACAGAUGAGGAUCUUGCUCCUCUGACGUUAGCGGCGGACGGGUGAGUAACACGUGGAUAACCUACCUAUAAGACUGGGAUAACUUCGGGAAACCGGAGCUAAUACCGGAUAAUAUAUUGAACCGCAUGGUUCAAUAGUGAAAGACGGUUUUGCUGUCACUUAUAGAUGGAUCCGCGCCGCAUUAGCUAGUUGGUAAGGUAACGGCUUACCAAGGCAACGAUGCGUAGCCGACCUGAGAGGGUGAUCGGCCACACUGGAACUGAGACACGGUCCAGACUCCUACGGGAGGCAGCAGUAGGGAAUCUUCCGCAAUGGGCGAAAGCCUGACGGAGCAACGCCGCGUGAGUGAUGAAGGUCUUCGGAUCGUAAAACUCUGUUAUUAGGGAAGAACAAAUGUGUAAGUAACUAUGCACGUCUUGACGGUACCUAAUCAGAAAGCCACGGCUAACUACGUG
rnacentral:rRNA from 1 species